AAUGCACUGACAAAGUGAGGAGCCAAUGAUGUCUGGGCAUCAAGUUCUGCAGAGUCUGAGAGAAGAUUUAGCUGGAGCAAGUCAUGGUGGUGUAUACCUGGUGACGGGGGCGACCGACGAUUGAGGGGAACACAGCACGAGGGGCAUCAUCCCCAGCGAACCCAGCCUUCACCAGCCCUGAGCCGUUGUCGCACACCAGGGCGGUAGUCUCCUCAUCGUCACACAUGUUGGCAGUCGCCCUCACAUGUCAAAGAACAGCUGUGUUACAAGCUUGCCCCGUGUCCAGCUCCCCUCCACGCUCACACAAGUGCAAACUGAGUUUCGGGUUCCUAUAACCUGACUCUGCAAACUUCUCGAGGAGAAAACAGGACAAAGCAAAUGGGAUUCUCUACUCACUUGGAACACUUGGAAGCACUGGGACAGUUUACAAAGACUUCAAUGCAUUUCCGAGCAGAAUCUGCAGAAACAUUAAAUCGGUUCAAUAUUUCUGCAGACACCGGAAAUUCCUUCUUGUGCACAGUGCUUCAGAAUCCUAUUGAAAUCAAUGAGAAGCCCACCGUGUGAACAUGGCCUUAAAGAAGAUCUGCAGCCCUAAACACUUAUCCCCUAUAUGCUCCCAUGCAGGAGACAUGUUGGCCACAGCAUGACACCACAGCCGACACUCCCUCUCCAUGUAUCUCUAUGGGAGAGGUGGAGAUGCAUUAUUCGUGCAUCCCUGCCUCUCCCAUAGAAUUGCAUGGAGGGGACGUUUUGUCGACCUCAAUGAGGUCGAUGACACGCGCAUUAGCCGUGCAGAGCCGCGGCAAUGCCGGUUUCCUGUAUGGGAUAAUCACAGGGGUCCCAGCAGUUGGACCCUCCGCGAUCAGACACUUAUCCCCUAUCCUGUAGGGGAUUAGUGUCUAAGACUGCAGUACUCCUUUAAGCUUCACUAUUUUCACAGAAUUGGCAUACUGCAAAUGUAUAUGCCAAAAAUUUCUGCAACAUGAAUGAAAUUUGUAAAACUGUAGUGUGCCACUAUGGAUUUUACCUACAGACAUCCACAGAUAAAAUCUGCAGCAUUGCCAGAAGUUUAAAAAUGUCAGUCACCACAGUAACCCCUCCAUCUGAGAGAUCUAAGACCUAAGAUGUGUACUUACAAUACAAAAAGAUAAAUACAUUUAAAAAAUAUAUUAAAAGCUUUA